rnacentral:rRNA from 1 species
GAUGAACGCUCGCUGUGUGCCUAAUACAUGCAUGUUGAACGGGAUGUAGCAAUACAUUCAGUAGCGAAUGGGUGAGUAACACGUACCUAACCUACCUUUAAGACUGGGAUAACUAUUGGAAACAAUAGCUAAUAUCGGAUAUAGUUAUUUAUCGCAUGAUGAGUAAUAGAAAGGAGCUUCACAGCUUCACUUAAAAAUGGGGGUGCGGAACAUUAGUUAGUUGGUAGGGUAAUGGCCUACCAAGACGAUGAUGUUUAGCCGGGCCGAGAGAGUGUACAGCCACACUGUGACUGAGAUACGGCCCAGACUCCUACGGGAGGCAGCAGUAAGGGAUUUUCCACAAUGAGCGAAAACUGUGGGAGCGACAACAGCGGGCAGGAUGAAGUUCUUCGGGAAUGUAAAACUGCUGUUUUUAAGGGAAGAAAAAAUAGAAAAAGGGAAAUGAUUUUAUCUUUGACGGGUACCUUUUUUUAGAAAAACGACCGCCAAACUAUGUUGCCAGCCCCCUGCGGAAAAACAUAGGGCGCCAAGCGUUAUCUGGGGAAAUUUUGGGGGGAAAAGCGCCCCUAGGGUUUUUUGCUAAGGCUUGGAGUAAAAGCCUGAAACUUCACCUCUCAGGCCCCCUUUGGAUACUGGGGAAAAUAGAAUUAUAAAGAGGGUUAGCGGGAUUCUCUACGGGAACGGGGGAAAUGCGUAGAUAUUUGGGAAGAAACCCCAAAUAGGGGAAGGGGGUUAACUGGGUUUUAUUUUUGAACUUAAGGGACGAAAAGCGUGGGGGAGCAAAAAGGAUUAAAAACCCUGGGGAGGCCCAGGGGCGAAUUUCCAUAUGGGGGUGCGCCCCCGGGGGACCCCCUAGUUUCUAAAGAGCGCGCCCCCGGGGAGCUCCCAAUUCGCCCUUAAGGGAGGUCGAUUGAAGGCAGCGUGGGGGUGGUUAUUUUACAAAGGUUGUGAGGGGGGACACUCCCCUGUUUUUUCUUAGAUGAGGAGGCGUCGCCGCGCAGACUCCUUUUUUAUGAGAUGUGCUAAUUAUAUAAAU